ACAUAUUUUAGAGCCUAAUUCAUCUUGGUUAAUAAACAAAAUUACAUUCAAAUCCAAAUUCAAAAUUAUAAUGCUAAAAUUUAUCCUUAAAUAAAUUUAUUGUAAUCCAUCUCUUCUUAUAAAAGCUGCACCUUGAUCUGAUUUAUAAUAAAAUUAAACGUUAAAAUUAUAUAUUUACAAAAAUAAUUAUUAAACGACGAUAUACAAGCAAAAUAAAAGUUUUAUUAAUCGUGGACUAUCGAUUACAGGACAGAUUCCCCUGAUUGGAAUAAAAAACCGCCAAAUUUUUUGAUUUUAAAGAACAUAUCUCAUAUUUAUCAAGUCUUUAAUAUUUUCCACUUCUAGAAUAAUGGGGUAUCUAAUCCCAGUCUACAAUCUAGAUUUCUUAACUUCAUAAUCAAAAAUUAAAUUAAAUAAAAAAUUAGAUUUCACCCAAAAAUUCUUAAAAUAAAUAUUAAAACAUAUUAAUUAAGUAUAAAAACCGAAAAAAAAAAUAAUAGCAUUAUUUGUUUAACCGCA
rnacentral:rRNA from 1 species